rnacentral:rRNA from 1 species
UACGGGGGGGGGCAAGCGUUGUUCGGAAUUACUGGGCGUAAAGGGUUCGUAGGUGGCUUGCUAAGUCAGACGUGAAAUCCCUGGGCUCAACCCAGGAACUGCGUCCGAUACUGGUUGGCUUGAAUCCGGGAGAGGGAUGUGGAAUUCCAGGUGUAGCGGUGAAAUGCGUAGAUAUCAGGGGGGAACACCGAUGGCGAAGGCAGCUUGCUGGGGACGGUACUGACGCUGAGACGCGAAAGCGUGGGGAGCAAACAGG